UACGUAGGGUGCGAGCGUUUAAUCGGAAUUACUGGGCGUAAAGCGUGCGCAGGCGGUUUUGUAAGUCUGUCGUGAAAGCCCCGGGCUCAACCUGGGAAUGGCGAUGGAGACUGCAAGGCUUGAAUCUGGCAGAGGGGGGUAGAAUUCCACGUGUAGCAGUGAAAUGCGUAGAGAUGUGGAGGAACACCGAUGGCGAAGGCAGCCCCCUGGGUCAAGAUUGACGCUCAUGCACGAAAGCGUGGGGAGCAAACAGG
rnacentral:rRNA from 1 species